ACCACAACGGGUGGAGCCUGCGGUUUAAUUGGACUCAACGCCGGGCAGCUCACCGGAUAAGACAGCUGGAUGAUAGCCGGGCUGAAGACUCUGCUUGACUAGCUGAGAGGAGGUGCAUGGCCGUCGUCAGUUCGUACUGUGAAGCAUCCUGUUAAGUCAGGCAACGAGCGAGACCCACGCCAACAGUUGCCAGCAUGUCCUCCGGGAUGAUGGGGACACUGUUGGGACCGCCUCUGCUAAAGAGGAGGAAGGAAUGGGCAACGGUAGGUCAGCAUGCCCCGAAUUAUCCGGGCUACACGCGGGCUACAAUGGUCAGGACAAUGGGUAUCGACACCGAGAGGUAGAGGCAAUCUCCUAAACCUGUCCUUAGUUCGGAUUGUGGGCUGCAACUCGCCCACAUGAAGCUGGAAUCCGUAGUAAUCGCGUUUCAAAAUAGCGCGGUGAAUAUGUCCCUGCUCCUU
rnacentral:rRNA from 1 species